rnacentral:rRNA from 1 species
UACGGAGGGAGCUAGCGUUGUUCGGAAUUACUGGGCGUAAAGCGCACGUAGGCGGCUUUGUAAGUUAGAGGUGAAAGCCCGGAGCUCAACUCCGGAACUGCCUUUAAGACUGCAUCGCUUGAAUCCAGGAGAGGUGAGUGGAAUUCCGAGUGUAGAGGUGAAAUUCGUAGAUAUUCGGAAGAACACCAGUGGCGAAGGCGGCUCACUGGCCCGAUACUGACGCUGAGGCACGAAAGCGUGGGGAGCAAACAGG